AUACCCUCAAUCACUAUUCCCUACAUUAGUCCACUCAUACAGUUCACUUGAAGGAGUGAAUGAAAACGACUGAAUGAAUUCGGAUACCGAGUGCACCGGAAGGACUGCCGCUUUGCUUGCUGUUUAAUAAUCAUUUGAAACGGGCAGCUCCAGUAGUAAGAUUAAAGUAUUUAUCUUGAACUCUGUCACGGAAAUUAUGUAUAAAUCAUAGUUAAACAAUUUAAUAAUCAAUUUACAAUGAAUUUGUACCUGUGUUGUAUUACACCGUGGACGAGCGCUUUUAAAAUGAAUGGAUGAUUCAGCUGCGGGCGCCAUCUUCUGGCGAGACGCGGGAAUUCAUUCUGCGCGCGACUCUCACAGUGCAUUAUGGGUUUAUCUCUAGCCAUUGAGUGUACAUCGGUUAUACACUCUUUUUUUGCGGUGCAUUGUGGAAUUGAAUGAGUGCACUCGAGAAUGUCCACUAUGGUUUCGGACACCACUAAAAAUGGCUGUCCACUCAAAUAGUGCCCUAUUUGAGGGUAUAGGGGGCGAUUUUGUUUUUGUCGAUCGGGCACGGGUACUCAGUCACGCGAGAAGAAUUGUACGGGAAGCGAAGCGCGGGAGUUAAGGGUCAGAAAGCUCUCGGAUUUCAUCAAUAAUAUCUUCUGAAGAUGAACGGGUUUGGAACAACAUGAGGGUGACCUGUCUACCUGCAUUCAUUUUAAAGCAAUAACUCAUGGAUGAGCAACACCACUCAUUGGCAACCACUCACACUGAUGGCUCCACUUAUGUGGUGACCAAAACAGCAGCACCUCCCCACAGUCAGAUCACGAAUCACAGUGACUUCAUCUCCACGUUAUGCAAUUUAAUCACGCAGUCCCAAAACACUCCAUUUAUUUUGGAUUGUCUUCAGGCGUUGUGUUGCAUAUCAGGAGCGAGAUAACAACAACAGCGAAGGUAACCGGGUCAGAGAAGUCGAACACACAGGCCGAAACAAGACCAAAGGGACCGGCGGUCAGAACAUCUCCGCCAACUGGCUACCUACACGGACUCUCUGAGGCUUGCAGGAACACGGAUCUGCAGCGAUCGUUAGAGCAGCAAACUGUUUCCUGCGCCGGGAAAAAAAUAAAUAUUUGAAUAUUCUCAGGCGCUCCUAAACCAGCUUAAAUUGGAUCAUUUUAUUGUGCCGCUCCACCCUGCCAAAAUGCCAAGAGAGUGUGGGUCUUGGCGAAGGCCGGCACUCCUGAAUCUUCCCCGCGGCCUGCUCGCCCCCCCACCCCUCUGCACUAUCUGCUGACACAGAGUCUUGCCCCAGGCCGAAGCUCUCCGCAUGGCCAGCCCCCUGCUGGGAAAAGAUGCACUGAGCUGGAGAGAGCUGGAGGCGUCCCAGCACACAACUGGCCAGCAGGCCACUCAAUGCGUGACACCUCACAUAUGUGUGCGCCGCCCUUUUAUACGAUACAACUAGAUAUCUGAAGGCUGAUUUCCCCAAAAAAAGUACAAAAAUGGAUGACUGUGCAACAUCUGUUUGGCAGACCAGUGGCAGACAGAACGGCCGGGUGAUGUGAAUUAAGACAGAUUAUUGGUCAAUAAUUCAGAAGAUGUCGUAGAUGAACUGGACCCAGCAGACCACCUGAUGAUGGAGUGAAGAUCUGGGAUGUUGCCUGAAGAUGCGGUGAGGGAAACUCUGGCCGAUGUGUGCAAACGGGAAGCUGUCCAGAGCAGGAACAUCACACACACUCCAGCCCCAGGUAAGCUCUUGAAAAGUUUCUCUUCCCACUGACAUGGAAAAGUGGGAUGGAUCUCAGAGAAGCGUUGACGUUCCCAUCCAGAAGAAUUCCAGCACCCCCUAAUGUCACAAUCGAGUUACUGAAGUGCUCAACUCACAACAGCACAACGGUUUAAAAGCAAAAACAGCCAAGAGAGUCCAUGGAGAAGUGCUUCAGAGAGAGACUGAAGGGAUUGUAGAGGAGAAGAAGGCUGAGCGUGUGGCACUGUGGAAGAAUGGGGUACAAAACAGGCAAAAGAAUGGGCUGAAAUAUUUUUAAACAGUAAUUACCUGGCCGGGAUCCGACAGAGGGGGAUUAAUGGAGGAAUGCGGAGCAUCAGGUUCCAGAGAUGUGUGCUGGAAGGACAGCAAGACGGCGGCCUGCAAGGCUUUGAGUUUGCACAAGAACACUGGCCAUCCUGUGAUCGCUAAUGCACGUGCAGUGCAAUAAGAACAGAUCACAGCUAAUAUUCAGGAGAGAAAACAUAUUCUCCCUUACUGGGGUCUCGGUGGGUGGUCAGGGAAAAUGAGCAAUGACAAAAUGUGUCAGCUCUUGAGAGGCGCGUGAUUGGCUCGUUCUCUGGAGGUGACGAUAUUAGAGGUCAAGGAAACAGCAGGGCCUUUAUGUCAUGCCAGUUGGCCUGUUACCAGAGAGAUUGCACCUGGGACGGUGGAGAAAACGACACCUGCUCUUAAUUAUCUGAAGAGGACGAGAGGGCCGCAGGAACUCCGACAGGGGUUCAUGAAGCCGGAGAGAGACGUGGAGGACUAAGUGAUCACUUUAUAAAUGAAAGCAGAUGCCUGGAAUUAUGAACUGUCGCUCCGCAGAUGGAGGACGUCGUUGAUGAAGCGCUUCCCGACCCCACUCAUGAUCACUCACUUCUGAUGCCGUCACGCGUGUACCAACACACACAAUCACGCUUGAGUGAACGGGUUAAACCUGCUCUCAGACACAUGAUUAGGGGCCCGUUCCCCCCGUUCCUUGCGAUGCUUGGUAUUUUGCGCCCGAGCAUCACGUUUGAUUGAUCUGGUUGUUGUAGCGUCUGUGAUUGAUGGCGGUUGUGGCACGGCACAAGCCCGCCAGCACUUCUCCGAAAGCGAGCAAAGAAGGGCCUGUCAGUGUCAUUGAUCUUCUUAUAAAUGAAAUGUUCCAUUUCCCGCUGCAUUUUAUUGUUAAAUGCAGUUCAUUAGCGACAAAAGAGAUUUAUCACCGAUGCUCUGUGUCGAGUGAAUCACUGCGCUACAACAGCGCACGCAUGGUAGGUCGAGCCAACCUGAGGGCAAAACCAUCCAUCUCAUGUGGGUUCUGUCGCAGAGAACGAUGCUGACCCAAAAUAUGCCAUCUUGUCCUUAGUGUGUGUGAACUAACGCUAUCAAACAGUUCAGAGAUAAGAAUCGAGCUGAUCUUCUCUUAAGAUGCGUGUGAACACUGGCAGUCAAAAGUUUGGACGCAUCUAUUCAUUCUUGAUUGACUGUUUUCCACAUUUCAGAAUAAUAUUACAGUCACCAAAACUAUGAAACGACACAAAAGAAAGCAUGGGAAUCAUAUAGCAAACAAACUUUUUAAACUGAUGAAAAUGCUCUUAUAUUUGAGCUUAUUAAUGGUCUAGAUAUUCAUCAACCAACUUCAUGAGGAUCCUGGGAUGCUUUUAAACAUUAGUGUAGGAGGAACACUUCUUUAUGCUUUUCCUUCACAAUUUAUAUUUGACUACAGCAAUUUUUAGAAAGACAUCAAAAGAUCAUAAGAUAUUUAGUCUAGUCUAGUG